AAAAGAAUAUAUACCUACUUAUAUUUUUCAGUUGCAAUGAAUGUAAGGAACAAAUUGGAGGUUCUUCACAUAGAUUAUUAUCUACGAAUCGAGUAGCAACAGAAAUGGAUGGUGCCAGAUAUGGAGCUUGGACAGAACAAGCAAACAUGAAUAAUUAUGCUUUAGGUUAAGGUAUUGGACAUUAUUAUAAUCGCAAAGAAAUAAUAUGUUACUACGAUUGUUUAAAAUAAAAAAAAUAUUUAUUGUUACUUUAGAUUUAUGUUUAGUUUGACAAAUAAAGUAUUUUAAUUAU
rnacentral:lncRNA from 1 species